rnacentral:rRNA from 1 species
AUUGAACGCUGGCGGCAUGCUUUACACAUGCAAGUCGAACGGCAGCGCGGGCUUCGGCCUGGGGGCGAGUGGCGAACGGGUGAGUAAUACAUCGGAACGUGCCCAGUAGUGGGGGAUAGCUCGGCGAAAGCCGGAUUAAUACCGCAUACGACCUGAGGGUGAAAGCGGGGGAUCUUCGGACCUCGCGCUAUUGGAGCGGCCGAUGGCAGAUUAGCUAGUUGGUGGGGUAAAGGCCUACCAAGGCGACGAUCUGUAGCUGGUCUGAGAGGACGACCAGCCACACUGGGACUGAGACACGGCCCAGACGCCUACGGGAGGCAGCAGUGGGGAAUUUUGGACAGUGGGGGAAAGCCUGAUCCAGCAAUGCCGCGUGUGUGAUGAAGGCCUUCGGGUUGUAAAGCACUUUUGGCGGGAACGAAAAGGACUGUGCCAAUACCACGGUUCGAUGACGGUACCCGCAGAAUAAGCACCGGCUAACUACGUG